ensembl:snRNA U5 U5 spliceosomal RNA
CUGUUUUCUCUUCAUAUGGAAUAAAUCUUUCGCCUUUUACUUAAGAUUUCCAUGAACAGGAACCACUGGAG